UGGGGAAGAUUGGACAAUGGGCGCAAGCCUGAUCCAGCCAUGCCGCGUGAGUGAUGAAGGCCCUAGGGUUGUAAAGCUCUUUCACCGGUGAAGAUAAUGACGGUAACCGGAGAAGAAGCCCCGGCUAACUUCGUGCCAGCAGCCGCGGUAAUACGAAGGGGGCUAGCGUUGUUCGGAUUUACUGGGCGUAAAGCGCACGUAGGCGGACUUUUAAGUCAGGGGUGAAAUCCCGGGGCUCAACCCCGGAACUGCCUUUGAUACUGGAAGUCUUGAGUAUGGUAGAGGUGAGUGGAAUUCCGAGUGUAGAGGUGAAAUUCGUAGAUAUUCGGAGGAACACCAGUGGCGAAGGCGGCUCACUGGACCAUUACUGACGCUGAGGUGCGAAAGCGUGGGGAUCAAACAGG
rnacentral:rRNA from 1 species